rnacentral:rRNA from 1 species
UAAUACGUAGGGGGCAAGCGUUGUCCGGAUUCACUGGGCGUAAAGCGCGCGCAGGCGGUGAUGUAAGUCUGAGGUGAAAACCCGAAGCUCAACUUCGGGACUGCCUUGGAUACUGCGUCACUUGAGGAUAGGAGAGGCAAGGGGAAUUCCACGUGUAGCGGUGAAAUGCGUAGAGAUGUGGAGGAACACCUGUGGCGAAGGCGCCUUGCUGGCCUAUUUCUGGCGCUGAGGCGCGAAAGCGUGGGGAGCAAACAGGAUUAGAUACCCUGGUAGUCCACGCUGUAAACGAUGAGUGCUAGGUGUAGGUGGGCUCAUACCCAUCUGUGCCGAAGCUAACGCAUUAAGCACUCCGCCUGGGGAGUACGGUCGCAAGACUG